rnacentral:rRNA from 1 species
CUGGAAUGGUUCAUGGCCGAAAUCUAUAUGGCCUUUGGAUUGGACUGCGGCCGAUCAGGCUGUUGGUGAGGUAAUGGCCCACCAAACCUGUUACCGGUACGGGCUCUGAGAGGAGGAGCCCGGAGAUGGGCACUGAGACAAGGGCCCAGGCCCUAUGGGGCGCAGCAGGCGCGAAACCUCUGCAAUAGGCGAAAGCUUGACAGGGUUACUCUGAGUGAUUUCCGUUAAGGAGAUCUCUUGACACCUCUAAAAAUGGUGAAGAAUAAGGGGUGGGCAAGUCUGGUGUCAACCGCCGCGGUAAUACCAGCUCCUCGAGUGGUCAGGGCGUUUAUUGGGCCUAAAGCAUCCGUAGCCUGCUCAGUAGGUCUCCUGUUAAAUCCAACGGCUCAACCGUUGGUCUGCAGGAGAUACCGCUGGGCUAGGAGGCGGGAGAGGCGGACGGUACUCCGAGGGUAGGGGUAAAAUCCUUUGAUCCCCGGAAGACCACCAGUGGCGAAGGCGGUCCGCCAGAACGCGCUCGACGGUGAGGGAUGAAAGCUGGGGGAGCGAACCGGAUUAGAUACCCGGGUAGUCCCAGCUGUAAACGAUGCGAGCUAGGUGACACGACGCCUUCGGGGCAUCGUGGUGCCGCAGGGAAGCCGUUAAGCUCGCCGCCUGGGGAGUACGGACGCAAGUCUGAAACUUAAAGGAAUUGGCGGGGGAGCACCACAAGGGGUGAAGCCUGCGGUUCAAUUGGACUCAACGCCGGA